rnacentral:tRNA from 1 species
GCCCGUUUGGCUUAGUGGUACAGCGUCUCACUCGUAACGACAUGAGAAGAUCCUUCGUUCGAUUCGGAGAAUGGGCA